UACGUAGGGUGCAAGCGUUAAUCGGAAUUACUGGGCGUAAAGCGUGCGCAGGCGGUUUUGUAAGACCGAUGUGAAAUCCCCGGGCUUAACCUGGGAACUGCAUUGGUGACUGCAAGGCUUGAGUGUGUCAGAGGGAGGUGGAAUUCCGCGUGUAGCAAUGAAAUGCGUAGAUAUGCGGAGGAACACCGAUGGCGAAGGCAGCCUCCUGGGAUAACACUGACGCUCAUGCACGAAAGCGUGGGGAGCAAACAGG
rnacentral:rRNA from 1 species